UUUUUGCUUUUGUCACACUGAGACCACAAUUUCCACAGACAUUCCUCUGAUGGGACACCGUUCCAAAAGUAUCUAUUACAUGGUUACAACAGUGAGGAGAAGAGCAUAACGUGCUUGGAGUCAAUAAUCCACAGAAAUAUGGCAAAACAAAGUUCCCAACACGCUCACCACAACUAUGGCUGGCAAGAACAGAAAUUCUCAGUGUACUAAAAUCCAUUUGAAAUGUUUAACCCUAACAUCAUCCAAUCUGCAUGAUGUUUCCUCAUCUCAGCUGGAGUAGAAUGUGUGGCUGGAAGAGCACAGUAUAACCAAAGAAACCCUGAAACGGGAAACAGAGUCAGCCUUCCCUGCAAGGAGGUCUCUCAAACCAGUUAAUGCACCAGUCCAGGUCACAAUGGAACUGGAUGAAUGUCAAGCAGCAGGUACGAGUGGUUUCUCUAAACUCCACAUGCUGAAGUUCUCUAAAACAGAUUUACUGUCCUUUCUCUAAGGCUGCUGCACCCCAUUCAUCCAGGGCACAGAUAACAUCUUUGACGAGAAAUGUCUGAAAUUACAGUUUCUGCCAUGUGAACUUCAAGCCUUACAGCAGAAAAGCUUUUCUGCCACAGAGCUGCAAACUUCACAAGAGAAGGCUCCUUCCCCUGUUCUGCUCCCUCUGGAGGUGUUUUAUUCUUACAAGCCAGCAGCCUUACCCAGCCAUGUUUGUAAUUUAUAUUUAGUACAAGGUCCUUUCUGUUCAGCCCACCGUGGAUGUUCCAAACACAGAGAGUAAAUCCUGAUAAAUCACUUUUCUCCUAUGGAUUAGAUCCCUUUCUCUUUUCUUCACCAAUGUCAUCAUUCCAAGGUGCUUGCAAGCACGAAUACACCAUUAUGCAAAAUUUCAACAUUUUUCUUAAAAAAAAAUAAAAUGAAAACACUGCGCUUGUUCAAGCCCAACUCAAGGAAGUUUCUGUGUUUCCAGCCCGGCCUUCGUGUUCUUACUGGUGUCCCAGUUACACAAUAGUGUUUGCAUGGGCAGUCCAGCCCUGCAGAACCUCCAGCUUGGAUCCUUUUUCCAGAUGGGGUAUUUGCUGCAGGUUUAACAACUUUGGAAAGUUUUAGGCAAUAAAGCCAAAUCAAUUCAGAUAAUGAAAUUAAGGAAAAGUACGUGUUGUUUAGCUCUUUUGAAAAGCCCUGAUGCCUUCAUAAGCUACACCAGGGAUUUCAAAUUGGCAGAAAACUACCCUCAUCUGCGACAUAUUUUCCCAUUUCCAGGAAAAUAUGACCAAAUUUGGCCAAGUUACAAUUCCUUACUGAAUUCUUUACUCUAUAUAAACUGUGUUUUCCUGAAGAUUCACUGGAGCCCAACAGCUGAGGAUGAAAUCAGUGUGCACCAGCCACACUGAACGAUCAUUAUUGUCCUGGCAGCCUCUCUUUGCCCUGGAGUGGGCUAAUAAUGCAGGGAAUUUUUUUGCCAUUUCCAGGUAUUUAAUCUAGAAUCUCAAAUAAGGCUUAAAUGACAGCUGUAGGUCAUUUGAUCCAUGAUCCAUCAAUAAACUCCAUCAGUACUUUUACAUUUUACUGAUUUACUUUUACAUUUACAUUUUAUUCCAAAAGGUACUUGUACAUUUUACUGAUUUACUUGUACAUUUACAUUUUACUCCAACAGGUACUUGUAC